rnacentral:rRNA from 1 species
AACGAACGCUGGCGGCAUGCCUAACACAUGCAAGUCGAACGAGACCUUCGGGUCUAGUGGCGCACGGGUGCGUAACGCGUGGGAACCUGCCCUUAGGUUCGGAAUAACUCCCCGAAAGGGGUGCUAAUACCGGAUAAUUUCUUCGGACCAAAGAUUUAUCGCCUUUGGAUGGGCCCGCGUUGGAUUAGCUAGUUGGUAGGGUAAAAGCCUACCAAGGCGACGAUCCAUAGCUGGUCUGAGAGGAUGAUCAGCCACACUGGGACUGAGACACGGCCCAGACUACUACGGGAGGCAGCAGUGGGGAAUAUUGGACAAUGGGCGAAAGCCUGAUCCAGCAAUGCCGCGUGAGUGAUGAAGGCCUUAGGGUUGUAAAGCUCUUUUACCCGGGAUGAUAAUGACAGUACCGGGAGAAUAAGCUCCGGCUAACUCCGUG